GGGAAAGCAUGCUGUCAUGUGGUGAGCAUGCUGUGGCUUCUGGCCAACAGCAAGCAAGGAACUGAGGUGGACCAACAAGCAUAGACAACAAUGACAUUAAAGAAGAGAAAAGGAGGAGAUGAGGGAAAGCUCUUCUUUGUGGAAGAAAGCCAGCUAAUAAACAAGAAAUGAUCACCAUUUUUACAAUUAAAUAUUAAUAACUCAUUCAGUCCAACUGAUUGCAGCAUGAUCUGCCACCAACCAAAGAACACCAAGUAUGAGUUACUGCUACGCUUCUGCAGACAUUAUACACACCAAGUAUUUCGACUGAACCUCAGAGCUGACAUGCAAAAUAGAAUCAUUAUGACAAUCUGAAGCCUUUUACCAUCUCUUUAUUUUUCAUUUACCACAAUCAUAUUAUUCAGUUCUGAUUAUACAGAGUAGAUGACCUUUAGCUUACCUCCACUCUCUCCUGAAAACACAUUACGUUGACAGUAAUGGAAUCUGUGUUUAGGGUACAUACUUACCAACAAGGAGAAAGGAAAAGGAGUUGAGAAGAACAAGGGCAUUUGGUAGCUGGAAAACCCAAGAACAAGUUGUACCUGACUCAACAGAGAGGUGACCACUAAGCCAGCAGCCAGGAAAGCUGAGAGAAGCAAUCUGAUUCAUACCUUGAAACCCCACAAAAACCUCACCAGAAAAGGAUAGCAGCAGGUAGCCAUGAAAGCUGGGGUGGGGUGGGCCUUGACACAGAAAGGACAAGUCUAAGACAGAGAUUCCUCUCCCUUGCCCAACCCCCAGGAGGCUGGAGGUUUAUUCUCUGGAGAGAGUCAAAGAGACAGGGGCUCUAAUCAGCAUGACAAGAGACAUAAAUGAGAAAGGCAAAUUAAGCAUGCCUUCACAUCCUAAAAGUCAUCCUCCAGCCAUCUUCUGCCAAAUCAGCUUCCAAAAGUGGAGUUGAAAAGAGUACUCUCUAAGGAAUAUGACCAGCCCAAGAGAAAAGAUCCCAAGAUUCUGAUCCCAGGAGUUCCCCCACUGCAAUGACCCAGCCAGAUCCUAUGGUAAAGGCUAAGGUUGAGAAGUCCACCACACAGAUAGCGAGUCCAUAAUUAGCUUUUAAACAUAAAUAGGUACAUAGCCAAGGAAGGCUUCUGAGCAAAGCCCCUUAUAGGAAAAACCAGGAGGCCAAAACAAGUAACAGAUUUUCAAAAAGUAAUUUAGAGGAAACAGAGCAAGGAAGGGAG
rnacentral:lncRNA from 1 species